GUUACCAGAACCAGAAUUUCACCUCUUUGCUCAUCUCCUCCCUGUCAGGAAAUCCUUGUCUUGAAGGAAGGAGCUGGUGCUACAGAAACAGAGGUGACCCUAGGAGGGGCUGCUGGGACACGCUGCAUGCUGCACCAGAGACAGAGGCUGCUCCCUGGAAUAACGGAGGAGGAAGAUGCAGUGAAUUGAAAAGAACCUCAGCUGGCAACCUUUUGGAAGAGUCUGCAGAUAUCUUACAUGGCACCAGAGGACUGGUGCCAAACAGGUGCUCUCUGGAGCUCAUUAUGUCCACCUGCCCAUCAGUGCAUAAACUGAUAAGACAAGUCUUCAGAUGCUUCGUAGUCCUGGUGACUUGGAUGCCACAUCCUCUGUUGGACCAUUUCUGGUGAUGCAUCACUGUUGAAGGGAAGAAGAUGGUCUUAUUGUAUCCCAUGUCCUGUUGCUACCAUUCUUUACAAAGCCCCCUCUCUGAGCACAGGAGACUGGUCUCCACCAUCAGUGUGAGCAAGGAUUGUGGUGUCCUCUGACAGCAGGAAGGCAAAGGGGAACACAAAAACCCCAACACAUGAGCACUGUCAUUAUUGUCUUCACUUGCUGAAUUCCCUCACUCAUUGUACCAGGACGGGGACCAGCUACUUCUUUCAGCAACAAAAUUAACAGCAAACAGCAAGCUGGCUUCUCAGUGAUGUGCGUGGACAGCCGGCUCACUUCCAUGUUGUUCUUGUGCUUGAGGGCAAUGUGCCUCAGGUUUGGAGGUCCCAGAUCCCAGCAGAGGGAUGUGGACAACCAGCAAGCUUCGGCACUGCUGGGGCAGUGUGUGGGGGCUGGCUGCAGGGUGCAGGUACAAGGAAUAAACUCCCCAAGGCAUCAGG